rnacentral:rRNA from 1 species
UACGGAGGGUGCAAGCGUUAUCCGGAUUCACUGGGUUUAAAGGGUGCGUAGGAGGGCAGGUAAGUCAGUGGUGAAAUCUCCAAGCUUAACUUGGAACUGCCGUUGAUACUAUCUGUCUUGAAUAUGGUGGAGGUGAGCGGAAUAUGUCAUGUAGCGGUGAAAUGCUUAGAUAUGACAUAGAACACCAAUUGCGAAGGCAGCUCGCUACACAUAUAUUGACCCUGAGGCACGAAAGCGUGGGGAGCAAACAGG